UAAUACGGAGGGUGCGAGCGUUGUCCGGAAUCACUGGGCGUAAAGGGCGCGUAGGUGGCCCCUUAAGUGUGUGGUGAAAGCCCGGGGCUCAACCCCGGGUCGGCCAUGCAAACUGGGGGGCUGGAGCACUGUAGAGGCAGGCGGAAUUCCGGGUGUAGCGGUGGAAUGCGUAGAGAUCCGGAAGAACACCGGUGGCGAAGGCGGCCUGCUGGGCA
rnacentral:rRNA from 1 species